UAAUACGGGGGGUGCGAGCGUUGUCCGGAAUCACUGGGCGUAAAGGGCGCGUAGGUGGUCUUGUAAGUCUGUGGUGAAAGCCCGGGGCUCAACCCCGGGUCUGCCGUGGAUACUGUGAGACUUGAGUACUGUAGAGGCAGGUAGAAUAUCGGGUGUAGCGGUGGAAUGCGUAGAGAUCCGAUAGAAGACCGGUGGCGAAGGCGGCCUGCUGGGCAGUAACUGACACUGAGGCGCGACAGCGUGGGGAGCAAACAGGAUUAGAUACCCUGGUAGUCCACGCCGUAAACGAUGGGUACUAGAUGCUUCGGGGAGCGACCCCCGGAGUGUCGGCGCUAACGCAGGAAGUACCCCGCCUGGGGAGUACGGCCGCAAGGCUG
rnacentral:rRNA from 1 species